rnacentral:rRNA from 1 species
GACGAACGCUGGCGGCGUGCUUAACACAUGCAAGUCGAACGGAAAGGCCCUGCUUUUGUGGGGUGCUCGAGUGGCGAACGGGUGUGUAACACGUGAGUAACCUGCCCUUGACUUUGGGAUAACUUCAGGAAACUGGGGCUAAUACCGGAUAUGAGCUCCUGCUGCAUGGUGGGGGUUGGAAAGUUUCGGCGGUUGGGGAUGGACUCGCGGCCUAUCAGCUUGUUGGUGGGGUAGUGGCUUACCAAGGCUUUGACGGGUAGCCGGCCUGAGAGGGUGACCGGCCACAUUGGGACUGAGAUACGGCCCAGACUCCUACGGGAGGCAGCAGUGGGGAAUAUUGCACAAUGGGCGGAAGCCUGAUGCAGCAACGCCGCGUGCGGGAUGACGGCCUUCGGGUUGUAAACCGCUUUCGCCUGUGACGAAGCGUGAGUGACGGUAAUGGGUAAAGAAGCACCGGCUAACUACGUG